GAUGAACGCUGGCGGCGUGCCUAAUACAUGCAAGUCGAGCGAACAGAUGAGGAGCUUGCUCCUCUGACGUUAGCGGCGGACGGGUGAGUAGCACGUGGAUAACCUACCUAUAAGACUGGGAUAACUUCGGGAAACCGGAGCUAAUACCGGAUAAUAUAUUGAACCGCAUGGUUCAAUAGUGAAAGACGGUUUUGCUGUCACUUAUAGAUGGAUCCGCGCCGCAUUAGCUAGUUGGUAAGGUAACGGCUUACCAAGGCAACGAUGCGUAGCCGACCUGAGAGGGUGAUCGGCCACACUGGAACUGAGACACGGUCCAGACUCCUACGGGAGGCAGCAGUAGGGAAUCUUCCGCAAUGGGCGAAAGCCUGACGGAGCAACGCCGCGUGGGUGAUGAAGGUCUUCGGAUCGUAAAACUCUGUUAUUAGGGAAGAACAAAUGUGUAAGUAACUAUGCACGUCUUGACGGUACCUAAUCAGAAAGCCACGGCUAACUACGUG
rnacentral:rRNA from 1 species